rnacentral:lncRNA from 1 species
AUGCAUAAUUCAACUAAAAAUAUUUUGAUCUUGUUCUCCACUACAGUAUUUAGAAAAUAAAAUUUUGAAACAUAUAUGCAUGUACCAAACCUCGAAUUCCAACACCACCCCCUCUUUGUUUCAUGUCUUUUGUCUUUGAGAAACUCUUUCUCAUGGUAAAGGCCUCAAAUUUGUUGCACAAAUCAAAGGUGGUUUAAUAUGGGCGAUGAGAGUGGAUAAGG